rnacentral:rRNA from 1 species
GACGUAGGGCGCGAGCGUUUGUCCGGAUUUAUUGGGCGUAAAGAGCUCGUAGGCGGCUUGUCGCGUCGACUGUGAAAACCCGUGGCUCAACCAUGUGGUCUGCAGUCGAUACGGGCAGGCUAGAAUUCGGUAGGGGAGACUGGAAUUCCUGGUGUAGCGGUGAAAUGCGCAGAUAUCAGGAGGAACACCGGUGGCGAAGGCGGGUCUCUGGACCACUACUGACGCUGAGGCGCGAAAGCUAGGGGAGCAAACAGG